GGGGGUAUAGCUCAGUGGUGGUAUCCGAAGGUCGGGGGUUCGACUCCCUCUGCCUCCA
rnacentral:tRNA from 1 species